rnacentral:rRNA from 1 species
CCUACGGGGGGCAGCAGUGGGGAAUAUUGCACAAUGGGGGAAACCCUGAUGCAGCGACGCCGCGUGAGUGAAGAAGUAAUUCGUUAUGUAAAGCUCUAUCAGCAGGGAAGAAAAUGACGGUACCUGAGUAAGAAGCCCCGGCUAACUACGUGCCAGCAGCCGCGGUAAUACGUAGGGGGCAAGCGUUAUCCGGAUUUACUGGGUGUAAAGGGAGCGUAGACGGCAGUGCAAGUCUGGAGUGAAAGGCGGGGGCUCAACCCCGGCGAGCCGUUGAAACUGGCGGGCUGGAGUUGGAGAGAAGUACGCGGAAUGCGCGGUGUAGCGGUGAAAUGCUUAGAUAUCGCGCAGAACCCCGAUUGCGAAGGCAGCGUACCGACUCCACACUGACGCUGAGGCACGAAAGCGUGGGUAUCGAACAGGAUUAGAUACCCCUGUAGUC